CGAAGGACAAGAGAGACGAGGCCUACCUAACCAUAGGCGCCUUCAAGCAACAAACAGAUGAUAUAAUCUUAAUCUGAUCUAUCAUAAUUAUNCGACCCCCUAGACCCAGGGUUC
rnacentral:rRNA from 1 species